rnacentral:lncRNA from 1 species
AGUGCUCUAACCCAACACACAACUUCUAAAUCCUAAUUACAGACCUAACUUUUGAAUACUAAACCCUAAACUGCUAUCACUAAACCCAAACCUCAACUUCUAUUUUUCAAAUACUAAACCCUAAACCCAAAUAUAGAUCCUAGAACCCAAAUAGAAUGAAACAAAAUACAUAGUAUAGUACAUAUUGCUGAACAAAAUAGAACACUCUUUAUUAAUCGUCAAAUAGAACGAUAAUGAUAGGGUCACUAAACUCAAACCUCAACCCUACCUUCUAAAUACUAAACCCUAAAUCUUAAUCAUUAAACCUUAAAUCCAAGUAUAAACUCUAAACCCAAAUAGAAUGGAACAAAAAACCAUAUUUCUCAAAUGUUGAUAUGGCUAUGCCAUGGAAGGUGGUAAUGUUUGCUUCAAUGUCAAUCUCAAUCGUACAUAAACUAAACCCAAUCAACUAAUCAUUAAACCCAAUCAACUAAUCACUAAUCAAUAAAUAAAAUAGUACAAACUGAUGAAAUUAUGAAAUGUUUAUGAUUGCAUGUAAGAAGUUAGUGUUGAUCCCAACCCCAGCUAUCAACUACUAAAUACUAAACUCUAAACUCUAAAUUCUAAUUACUAAACCCUAAACCUAAAUAAAUAGAUUAAGCUAAGGGAAAAUUGCCAAAUAUGACUCACAACUUGAUUUCAAAUGCAAA